rnacentral:snoRNA from 1 species
UUUACAUGAUGUUAUCUUUUAAUAUUUGCUACUUCAGAGGGUUCGCCCGAUGAGACAAUUUUUCCACCAAGAUCUCUGAUUCA